rnacentral:SRP_RNA from 1 species
GCUUGGCAUGGUGGCAUGUUCCUGUAGUCCCAGCUACUCAGUAGGCUGAGGAAGGAGGAUCACUUGAGUUCAGGAGUUCUGGGUUGUAGUGCACUAUGCCAAUUGGGCAUCCACACUAAGUUCAGCUUCAAUAUGGUGACUUCGUGGGAGAAGAGGACCAUCAGGUUACCUAAGGAGGGGUGAACUGACCCAGGUCAGAAAAGAGCAGGUCAAAACUCCCAUUCUGAUUAGUAGUGGGAUCAUGCCUGUGAAUAGCCACUGCACUCCAACUUGGGAAACAUAGUGAGACCUGGUUUUCU